rnacentral:rRNA from 1 species
UAGCCGUAAACGAUACUCGCUAGGUGUCGGCCACGGUGCGACCGUUGUCGGUGCCGUAGGGAAGCCGUGAAGCGAGCCACCUGGGAAGUACGGCCGCAAGGCUGAAACUUAAAGGAAUUGGCGGGGGAGCACAACAACGGGUGGAGCUUGCGGUUUAAUUGGACUCAACGCCGGGAAUCUCACCGGAUAAGACAGCUGAAUGAUAGUCGGGAUGAAGACUCUACUUGACUAGCUGAGAGGAGGUGCAUGGCGUCAGUGACU